CAUGCAGUGGAGCGACGAACCGGGCUUCGGCCCGGGGCAAAGCCGCGAACGGGUGAGUAACACGUGGGUGACCUGCCCUUAGCUCUGGGAUAAGCCUGGGAAACUGGGUCUAAUACCGGAUAUGACUCCAUGACGCAUGUUGUGGGGUGGAAAGCCUUGUGCGGCUAGGGAUGGGCCCGCGGCCUAUCAGCUUGUUGGUGGGGUGAUGGCCUACCAAGGCGACGACGGGUAGCCGGCCUGAGAGGGCGACCGGCCACACUGGGACUGAGACACGGCCCAGACUCCUACGGGAGGCAGCAGUGGGGAAUCUUGCGCAAUGGGCGAAAGCCUGACGCAGCGACGCCGCGUGAGGGAUGACGGCCUUCGGGUUGUAAACCUCUUUCAGCCCUGACGAAGCGAAAGUGACGGUAGGGGCAGAAGAAGCACCGGCCAACUACGUGCCAGCAGCCGCGGUAAUACGUAGGGUGCAAGCGUUGUCCGGAAUUAUUGGGCGUAAAGAGCUCGUAGGCGGUCUGUCGCGUCGGCUGUGAAAACUCGGGGCUCAACCCCGAGCUUGCAGUCGAUACGGGCAGGCUAGAGUGCGGCAGGGGAGACUGGAAUUCCUGGUGUAGCGGUGAAAUGCGCAGAUAUCAGGAGGAACACCGGUGGCGAAGGCGGGUCUCUGGGCCGAUACUGACGCUGAGGAGCGAAAGCGUGGGGAGCGAACAGGAUUAGAUACCCUGGUAGUCCACGCCGUAAACGUUGGGCGCUAGGUGUGGGAUCCCUUCCACGGGUUCCGUGCCGCAGCUAACGCAUUAAGCGCCCCGCCUGGGGAGUACGGNCGCAAGGCUAAAACUCAAAGGAAUUGACGG
rnacentral:rRNA from 1 species